rnacentral:misc_RNA from 1 species
GACGGAAGGUGCAAGCGUUACUCGGAAUUACUGGGCGUAAAGCGUCCGCAGGCGUCCUCGUAAGUCUGGCGUAAAAGCACGGAGCUCAACUCCGUGUACGUGUCGGAAACUACAAGGAUUGAGUCAUACAGAGGCAUCUGGAAUAUCGUGUGUAGGGGUAAAAUCCGUUGAUCCACGAUAGAACGCCAAAAGCGAAGGCAGGAUGCUGGGUAUGUACUGACGCUCAGGGACGAAAGCGUGGGGAGCGAACGGG